UGAGGAAUAUUGGUCAAUGGGCGAGAGCCUGAACCAGCCAAGUAGCGUGAGGGAUGACUGCCCUAUGGGUUGUAAACCUCUUUUGAUUGGGAACAAAGAGCGCCACGUGUGGUGCGUUGCGUGUACCUUUCGAAUAAGCAUCGGCUAACUCCGUGCCAGCAGCCGCGGUAAUACGGAGGAUGCAAGCGUUAUCCGGAUUUAUUGGGUUUAAAGGGUGCGUAGGCGGAUGGGUAAGUCAGCGGUGAAAUGUCCCGGCUCAACCGGGGAACUGCCAUUGAUACUGCCUGUCUUGAAUGCGGAUGCCGUGGGAGGAAUGUGUAGUGUAGCGGUGAAAUGCAUAGAUAUUACACAGAACACCGAUUGCGAAGGCAUCUCACGAAUCCGUUAUUGACGCUGAGGCACGAAAGC
rnacentral:rRNA from 1 species